CCUACGGGUGGCAGCAGUGGGGAAUAUUGGACAAUGGGCGAAAGCCUGAUCCAGCCAUGCCGCGUGUGUGAAGAAGGCCUUCGGGUUGUAAAGCACUUUCAGUGGGGAAGAAAGCCUUGGGGCUAAUACCCUCGAGGAAGGACAUCACCCACAGAAGAAGCCCCGGCUAACUCCGUGCCAGCAGCCGCGGUAAUACGGAGGGUGCGAGCGUUAAUCGGAAUUACUGGGCGUAAAGCGCGCGUAGGCGGUCUGAUAAGCCGGUUGUGAAAGCCCCGGGCUCAACCUGGGAACGGCAUCCGGAACUGUCAGGCUAGAGUGCAGGAGAGGAAGGUAGAAUUCCCGGUGUAGCGGUGAAAUGCGUAGAGAUCGGGAGGAAUACCAGUGGCGAAGGCGGCCUUCUGGACUGACACUGACGCUGAGGUGCGAAAGCGUGGGUAGCAAACAGGAUUAGAUACCCUAGUAGUC
rnacentral:rRNA from 1 species